rnacentral:rRNA from 1 species
GACGAACGCUGGCGGCGUGCUUAACACAUGCAAGUCGAACGGAAAGGCCCUGCUUUUGUGGGGUGCUCGAGUGGCGAACGGGUGAGUAACACGUGAGUAACCUGCCCUUGACUUUGGGAUAACUUCAGGAAACUGGGGCUAAUACCGGAUAGGAGCUCCUGCUGCAUGGUGGGGGUUGGAAAGUGUCGGCGGUUGGGGAUGGACUCGCGGCUUAUCAGCUUGUUGGUGGGGUAGUGGCUUACCAAGGCUUUGACGGGUAGCCGGCCUGAGAGGGUGACCGGCCACAUUUGGACUGAGAUGCGGCACAGACUACUACGGGAGGAAGCAGUGGGGAAUAUUGCACAAUGGGCGGAAGUGUGAUGCAGGAACGCCGCGUGCGGGAUGACGGCCUUCGGGUUGUAAACCGCUUUCGCAUGUGACGAAGCGUGAGUGACGGUAAUGGGUAAAGAAGCACCGGAUAACUACG